UACAGAGGGUGCGAGCGUUGUCCGGAAUCACUGGGCGUAAAGGGCGCGUAGGUGGCCUGGUAAGUAGGGGGUGAAAUCUCGAGGCUCAACUUCGAGGCUGCCUCCUAAACUGUCAGGCUCGAGCAGAGUAGAGGCAGGUGGAAUUCCCGGUGUAGCGGUGGAAUGCGUAGAGAUCGGGAAGAACAUCGGUGGCGAAGGCGGCCUGCUGGGCUCUUGCUGACACUGAGACGCGAAAGCGUGGGGAGCAAACAGG
rnacentral:rRNA from 1 species